rnacentral:lncRNA from 1 species
ACUGUGGCGGUUCAGCCUCAAGUACUCUUGGGGUAGGAGGUUUCUUUUCUUUUCUUGUUUUUUAUUUUGGUGGGGCAAGAGCCUCUUGAAUCUUCAAUUGUUUCUUUUUUCUUUGGUUGGUUGGUUUUGAAGUAUCUGGAGAUAGAUCAUUGUCAUCAGAUUCGAUUACUUCGGCCUCAAGUUCUUUUUGUUUUCUUUUCCUGGGUGUUAGUGGUGGUUUUCGGCUAGUCUGAGAGAAAAGAGAGUUUAGAUGAUUAGAAAUGUG